rnacentral:rRNA from 1 species
UACGUAGGGGGCAAGCGUUGUCCGGAAUUAUUGGGCGUAAAGAGCGUGUAGGCGGUCUGUCGCGUCUGCUGUGAAAAUCCGGGGCUCAACCCCGGACUUGCAGUGGGUACGGGCAGACUAGAGUGUGGUAGGGGAGACUGGAAUUCCUGGUGUAGCGGUGGAAUGCGCAGAUAUCAGGAGGAACACCGGUGGCGAAGGCGGGUCUCUGGGCCGACAUUGACGCUGAGGAGCGAAAGCGUGGGGAGCGAACAGG